rnacentral:rRNA from 1 species
UCAGACGAUGCGUCAUGCAUAUCAAUAAGCGGAGGAAAAGAAACUAACAAGGAUUCCCCUAGUAACGGCGAGUGAAGCGGGAAGAGCUCAAAUUUGAAAUCUUAAAGGGUUUCCCUUUACGAAUUGUAGUUUAAAGAAGUGUUUUCUGUUGAGGUUUUGGUAAAAGUUCUUUGGAAUAGGACAUCAUAGAGGGUGAGAAUCCCGUAUUUGACCUUUACCUUCAACUUUGUGAUACACUUUCAAAGAGUCGGAUUGUUUGGGAAUGCAGUCCAAAAUGGGUGGUAAAUUUCAUCUAAAGCUAAAUAUUGGCGAGAGACCGAUAGCGAACAAGUACCGUGAGGGAAAGAUGAAAAGAACUUUGAAAAGAGAGUUAAACAGUACGUGAAAUUGUCAAAAGGGAAGCGUUUGACACCAGUGUUGUUUUUCUGAAAAUCAAUUAAAGAACUGUUUAUGCUAAGCUGUUUAGACUUUAUCAGCUAUCUGUUUAGUUUUGAGCUUUUCUUUAAUGCACUUUUCAGUUAACAAGUCAACAUCAAUUUCUUUUGCUGUAAAAAAGCUUGAGGAAGGUGGCUUGAGAUUCGUCUUAAGUGUUUAUAGCCUCUUGCCUAUGCAGUCGGAGAGAUUGAGGUCUGCAGCGUAGAUCCUUCGGGGCUAAAUGCAUUUGUGCUAAGUUAUAGCAUUUUAUAGACAACUUGUUGACUAUGAUUUGUCUUGUAGCUUACUCGCUUAUGUUAUUUUACCUACGCUUAGGAUGUUGACACACGCGCGUGCUCG